rnacentral:rRNA from 1 species
AUUGAACGCUGGCGGCAGGCCUAACACAUGCAAGUCGAGCGGAUGAAGGGAGCUUGCUCCUUGAUUCAGCGGCGGACGGGUAAGGAAUGGCUAGGUAUCUGCAUGGGAGUGGGGGAUAACGUCCAGAAAUGGGCACUAUAACCGAAUACGCCUUGAGGGAGAAAGUGGGGGAUCUUGGGAUCCCACGCUAUCAGAUGAGCCUAGGUCGGAUUAGCUAGUUGGUGGGGUAAAGGCAUACCAAGGCGACGAUCCGUAGCUGGUCUGAGAGGAUGAGCAGUCACACUGGAACUGAGACACGGUCCAGACUCCUACGGGAGGCAGCAGUGGGGAAUAUUGGACAAUGGGCGCAAGCCUGAUCCAGCCAUGCCGCGUGUAUGAAGAAGGUCUUCGGAUUGUAAAGCACUUUAAGUUGGGAGGAAGGGAAGUAAGUUAAUACCUUGCUGUUUUGACGUUACCAACAGAAUAAGCACCGGCUAACUUCGUG